AGCAGUCCCACGGGAAUACGUAGGGUGCAAGCGUUAAUCGGAAUUACUGGGCGUAAAGCGUGCGCAGGCGGUUAUAUAAGACAGAUGUGAAAUCCCCGGGCUCAACCUGGGAACUGCAUUUGUGACUGUAUAGCUAGAGUACGGCAGAGGGGGAUGGAAUUCCGCGUGUAGCAGUGAAAUGCGUAGAUAUGCGGAGGAACACCGAUGGCGAAGGCAAUCCCCUGGGCCUGUACUGACGCUCAUGCACGAAAGCGUGGGGAGCAAACAGGAUUAGAUACCCCCGUAGUCCCUGUCUCUUAUACA
rnacentral:rRNA from 1 species